rnacentral:lncRNA from 12 species
CUCUCCCUCUGAAAUAAAUAGGUGAAUCUUUAAAAAGGGAAAGGUAAUAAAUUAAUUAAUUAAAAUAAAAUAAAAUAAAAUAAAAUAAAAUAAAAAAUAAAAUAAAAUAAAAUAAAAUAAAAUAAAAGGGAAAGGUGUCAUUUUAAAGAUUUUUGCAUCCCACAGGUCAUCUCUGCAGAGGAAGCUUCUUCCAGCCGUGGACAUACCUGCCGCCACUCACCUUCCAACACGACAAUUCUGCGACACCAGCAGCUCGAGGUUCCGUAAAGCAAA